UGCUCGGAAAAGAACUUAAAAAAUUUACGUAAAAUUUGUUGGAAACACUUUGCCAAUAUUUAGCUUGGAAAUUACCUCGGAUAAUUGAACUUAACUAAAUUUCAUCUCGGAAAAUGUUAAGACAUAAUCAUGAUUUAACUUAUAAUGGGCAUCAAAAGCAAUAAUCAACAGUAAAGCAAACUAAGAUAACAACCCAACUGUAGAUUGCCAAUGGAUAUUUCUUAAUCCAUGGUCAGAGCAAACAGUCCAACAGCAUGGAAAGGAGAGAUUUGGUCCAGGGAAUCAAUUUUUAGUAUGGACAUUGUCAAUGGCCAACUUCCUUUUCAAUAAAUUUGUACUUUAAUCUUCUGAAGCCAUUUUUGUGGGAGGAAUCAAUUAAAAAAAUUUAAGUGUGAAAACAUGGAAAAGUUAAAUACAAUGUAAAUUCCUUGUUGCCAUAAAAUACCUUUUCAAAUAACUGAUGAUCAGGAAGACUUAAAAAAAUUUUUUUUUAUAUUCAUAUUUUUUUUUUUAUUAUUUAUAAUUAUUGUUACUAGAUAUCUUCUCCAUUUUUAAGAAUAGAUAAAAGAGCAAAACUUAUAAUUAUACAAAAAGAAACAAUCAGUGUUUAUGUCUCUUAGUUUCUAAAUGCAUCAGUAUUUUUCCUGCAGUUUCUUUCUAUAUAUAGACUUAACUUAGGGUUUCUUGACAGCCUGUAAGCAACACUGAAAUAAGAAUGCUAUUAAUCUUUAAUAUAUGUUUUUAUGCCAUAUAAAAUAGUAUAUUCUACUAAGCAAGUCUGUGACAUACAUUCAGAUUACAAUUUACUCUGCCAUUAAUUAUGUGUACAAUAAACAUAAAUAGUUAUUAAUUGUCCUUUUAAUAUAUAAUUAUGUACAAUUAAUGUGUAAAAUAUGUAUGCUUGAUACUUUCUUAUAAUUAAGAUAAAUAAAUACUGCAUCCACUAAGUUUUCACACACAGAAUAUAACACACUGAUCAGAUAAAACUAAUGGCACCCCAGGUGGUUCCCUCUUAUAAUCUAUGCAUGAUCAAUCUUCUCAUUGAGCAUUCUGGGAUAGACCAGAUUGUUCCAUGUGAUUAUUCAGGGGGAGUCUGGGUUUUUAUACAAUCCAAAACAGUCUAAAAUGACACUGCAACUGUGAUUCUCUUAUAAUUUUCAAGUUUUACUUUUAUUUAUCAUUUGAUAUAUUUGUACCUUCAAUAAAAUUAGUGUAAAAAUAAAAUGAUGAUGGCUUUGAUAUUUUGGGAUCACCCCUGUUUCACAUUAUGAUUGCCCCUUCAGUUAUACUGUUGAAAAAUUUGAAUCUCAGACAUUAAUGGGUCAAGUGGUUAUAGUUGGAAGUAGUGCAAACCUGGAUUUAAUUUAAGCAAUUUUGGACAUAUCUUGUUUUAAAUGUUAGGGAGCAUAUUUUGGAAUUUUCAAAGAAAACAUUUAUCUAAGUGUGACAAGAUUCAGGAAAUGUUUGGUUGUUGUAAUUGAACCUAAAGAUCAAUGACCUGGGACAGGAAGAUAAACAAAAGAAACAUGAUAGUAAAAAGGUUCAGAGUCAGCUUGUAAGCAAGUUUGCAAGACUGUUCCAAACUACAAGAAGAUGGCAAUCCAGCUUUGCUGUGUUUUAUCAUAGUAUAUCAUUGGCAUCCAGGCAUCGAUUAAGGAAGCCAACUGUAGACCAGGAAAGGCUUCAAGGAAUAUACUACAGAAUUGUAUCCUGGAGCAUUUUCCACAUGUGACCCCUGUGAUGGUGAGGGAAAAACUAAGGGACAUUUCAAAAUCAUGAAGAGUGAACAGGAAUUCAAAAGAUAGAUAUUUGAAUACAUUAAAAUUAACCGGAUACCAAAAAAUUAUAACUGAACAUUGAGUGUAACAUUUACCAUUAAAGACUUCUAACUUAACUUUUCAUUUGUAGUGCAUUACUAUUUACUUCACACUGACAUUAAAUGUUUAAGUGAGUCAUGUGAUCAUUUUUUGCUCUGUAUUAUUACAAAGAAGUUUCUUAAUUCCUUAAAAGGACAAUAUAAUUGCUCUUUUCAGAAUAUUUCAUUGGAUGUUAUAUUUUCUGAUUUUCCAUGGAUAUUCUAGAAAUUUCCAAGGUUUUUGCUCAAAUAAACCUUGGAAAAUUCUCUGAUGCCCUUAAGUAAGAAUCCUCGAAAAUAUAACAGUAUUCCCAGUUGUGAUAAACUUUCCGAGGUUUUCAUUUAAAAACCUUGGAAAACAAACCACGGAAACACUUUAAAAAUCCUUGGAAAUCGUUCCAAUACUCCGAGGUCACUCAUUUUCCAAGGUUUUCUAAACAAAAUCCUCGGAAAUUAUUUUACGAGGUUUUUAUUCUGAAAUCCUUGGAAAUCGUUCCAAUACUCCGAGGUCAUACUUUUUACGAGGUUUUUUUUUAAAAAAAACUCGGAAAUUUUUUACAAGGUUUUUCACCCUCUCCCUAUUUUUCCAAGGUUUUUUUAAUAGCAAAGUUUUGCAUUUUCUUGUUCCAAUACUCCGAGGUUUUUUUCCAAGGAUUUUGAGCCAAAAACCUUGGAAAAUCUACACCCGG